AAUGCAGUCGAACGAUGAAGAAGAGCUUGCUCUUUGGAUUAGUGGCGCACGGGUGAGUAAUAUAUAGUUAAUGUACCUUCAAGACCGGGAUAGCCAUUGGAAACGAUGAUUAAUACUGGAUACUCCUUCUAAUCAUAAGGUUAGUCGGGAAAUGUUUUUUCGCUUGAAGAUCAGACUAUAUCCCAUCAGUUAGUUGGUAGUGUAAGAGACUACCAAGGCAAUGACGGGUAGCGGGUUUGAGAGGAUGAUCCGCCACACUGGUACUGAGACACGGACCAGACUCCUACGGGAGGCAGCAGUGAGGAAUAUUGCACAAUGGGGGAAACCCUGAUGCAGCAACGCCGCGUGGAGGAUGACGCAUUUCGGUGUGUAAACUCCUUUUAUGAGUCAAGAAAAUGACGGUAGCUCAUGAAUAAGCACCGGCUAACUCCGUGCCAGCAGCCGCGGUAAUACGGAGGGUGCAAGCGUUACUCGGAAUCACUGGGCGUAAAGGACGCGUAGGCUGGCUUGUAAGUCAGAUGUGAAAUCCUAUGGCUUAACCAUAGAACUGCAUUUGAAACUACGAGCCUAGAGUAUGGGAGGGGGAGAUGGAAUUAGUGGUGUAGGGGUAAAAUCCGUAGAUAUCACUAGGAAUACCGAAAGCGAAGGCGAUCUCCUGGAACAUAACUGACGCUGAGGCGUGAAAGCGUGGGGAGCAAACGGGAUUAGAUACCCCGGUAGUCCACGCCCUAAACGAUGAACACUAGUCGUCGGGAUGCUUGUCAUCUCGGUGAUGCACUUAACAGAUUAAGUGUUCCGCCUGGGGGAGUACGGGUCGCAAGAUUAAAACUCAAAGGAAUAGACGGGGGGACCCCGCACAAGUUGGUGGGAGCAUGUGGGUUUAAAUUUCGAAAGAUUACGCCGAAAGAAACCCUUUACCCUAGCCCUUU
rnacentral:rRNA from 1 species